UGUUGUUUCCCAGUGUCUAAGG
rnacentral:piRNA from 1 species